rnacentral:lncRNA from 1 species
AAGCACAGUGGGCGGGGCUGAAGUUCCGCCACCUGACUGAGCAGGAGGGGAGAGCACAGGAGGGUAGGGACACAGGUGCCCUGAUCCUGGACUAACCCAGGGACGCCUGAGCCCAAAGGAACCCCGAGGGGGCUUUGGCACAGCAGGGAAGCCGCCACGUGGGAGGUGCCUGGGUUCAAGUCCUGCUCUGCCCCCGAUUCCGAUUUCCUGCUACUGUCACUCCCUCUGGGUGACAGUGGUGACGGCUGAUGUCCAUGGGAGGCCUGGAUGGAGCUCCCUGGCUGACCCUGGCCCUCCCUGGCUGACCCCGGCCCCAGCCGCCGUGGGCACUUGACGGCAAACCAAAGGACAGGGGCUCGCUCUCGUCGCUCUGCCUCUCAGAAAUAAAAUCGAUUAAAAAUAAGCAAAUCAAUGAAGCCCCCCCGCACAGACCCCGCAGAGCAGCUGUCAUGGCCCUGGGCUCUCGCUGCCCGGGGAGCAGGCAGCACCGGUGAGCUCAUCUCACAGGGCGGAACCGGAGGCCUGGGGGGAGGGGCUGGAAGGCAGAGCAGGCCCCACCCCCAGCUCAGACACCAGCUGGGGGAUGGGGGGGGCGCUGCGGGGGGGGGAUAGCCCUGCCCCCCCCCCCGUCCCCUCCCCGGCUGUGUGCCCUUAGGGGGUCCCUGUCUGUCUCUGGACCUGGCCCUUCCCCGUGCCCAGCCAGAGGUGGACGCCACUCAGCCUACUUGGCUGGAACAAUCAGCCCAGCUCCCGGGGAGGCUCGGUGCCAGGUAUGGGGGAAGCCAUGGAGAACACGACCCACGGCUCCCGGACCACGGAGCGUACCACUGGCUCUGGAGGGCAGGCUGGGAUGUAGAUUCGGCUCAUCCAGGACAUUCUACCCAAGCACCGCCCCCCGCGGUGCCCGCCACACACUUUGUAUCAGCAGGUGCCCAGCAAGGCCUGUGUGUCGGGGGCUGGGAGUGGCUCCCGCCAGGGCUCCGGGUCCCCAGCUCAAGCCCCAGACCACAGAGGCCAGCCCUGAAUCGCAGCUCCACCACCUACCAGCUGUGUGGCAGGGAUCUCCCUGAGCCUCAGUUUAUCCACCUAGGAAAUGGGGAUGAAGACCCCACCUGCCUCAGAGUCCCCGGGAGCGCUCGGUGGGAGGAGCAGCCCACCGCCCUUAGCCCGGUGAAUCUGUCGGGGAUGAGCCCCAACACGCGCCCGCCCGGGCCUCCCUCUCUCCCUCCCGCUGCGGGGAGCCGUCUCCCUCCCUCUAGCAGGCCCAGGGCCCAGCCCCAGCCUGGGCGCAGGCUGAUUCCAAGUCGCGCUGUGCGGCCAGCAGUGGCUGCCGCCAACGGCAGGCAGCGCCGUCCUGUUGGCAGGAGACAGCGCAUCCAUCAGGGAGCCUGGCCGGCCCUGUCCAUCCAUCAUCCCGGCUGCCAGCAGGCCUCGUCCAGCCCAUCGCUCUGCAGGCUGCGUCCUGCUGGGGCUGGGGCCAUGGCCAGGGGUGGCCGGGUCCCAGCACACAUUCAUCGGCCCUGCCGCGGCCCCAGCCCAGCCUCACCUGUCGGCCUCGAGUCCCGGGGCAGCAGCACGCCCGUGGGGGUGGGGGGCGUGAUGAUGAUGUCGGGCACGUCCAGGGGUUCUUUG